AAUAGAUACCCCGGUAGUCCACGCCGUAAACGAUGAGUGCUAAGUGUUAGAGGGUUUCCGCCCUUUAGUGCUGCAGCAAACGCAUUAAGCACUCCGCCUGGGGAGUACGGCCGCAAGGCUGAAACUCAAAGGAAUUGACGGGGACCCGCACAAGCGGUGGAGCAUGUGGUUUAAUUCAAAGCAACGCGAAGAACCUUACCAGGUCUUGACAUCCUCUGACCAUCCUAGAGAUAGGACCUUCCCCUUCGGGGGACAGAGUGACAGGUGGUGCAUGGUUGUCGUCAGCUCGUGUCGUGAGAUGUUGGGUUAAGUCCCGCAACGAGCGCAACCCUUGUUCUUAGUUGCCAGCAUUCAGUUGGGCACUCUAAGGAGACUGCCGGUGACAAACCGGAGGAAGGUGGGGAUGACGUCAAAUCAUCAUGCCCCUUAUGACCUGGGCUACACACGUGCUACAAUGGAUGGUACAAAGGGCUGCGAAGCCGCGAGGUGGAGCCAAUCCCAUAAAACCCAUUCUCAGUUCGGAUUGCAGGC
rnacentral:rRNA from 1 species